rnacentral:rRNA from 1 species
CUGGCGGCGUGCUACACAUGCAAGUCGAACGCGAAAGCCCCGCAAGGGGUAAGUAGAGUGGCAAACGGGUGAGUAACACGUGGGUGACCUGCCUCAGAGUGGGGGAUAACGACCCGAAAGGGUCGCUAAUACCGCAUAACAUCCUGCAUUUGGAGAUGUGGAGAUCAAAGCCGGGGAUCGCAAGACCUGGCGCUCAGAGAGGGGCCCGCGGCCGAUUAGCUAGUUGGUAGGGUAACGGCCUACCAAGGCAACGAUCGGUAUCCGGCCUGAGAGGGCGGACGGACACACUGGGACUGAGACACGGCCCAGACUCCUACGGGAGGCAGCAGUGGGGAAUUGUUCGCAAUGGGCGCAAGCCUGACGACGCAACGCCGCGUGGAGGAUGAAGAUCUUCGGGUCGUAAACUCCUUUCGAUCGGAAAGAACGCCUUUGGUGUGAAUACCACCGAGGGGUGACGGUACCGAGAGAAGAAGCCCCGGNCAACUCCGUGCCAGCAGCCGCGGUAAUACGGGGGGGGCAAGCGUUGU